rnacentral:rRNA from 1 species
AGUGAACGCUGGCGGUAGGCCUAACACAUGCAAGUCGAACGGCAGCACAGUAAGAGCUUGCUCUUACGGGUGGCGAGUGGCGGACGGGUGAGGAAUGCAUCGGAAUCUACUUUUUCGUGGGGGCUAACGUAGGGAAACUUACGCUAAUACCGCAUACGACCUACGGGUGAAAGCAGGGGAUCUUCGGACCUUGCGCGAUUGAAUGAGCCGAUGUCGGAUUAGCUAGUUGGCGGGGUAAAGGCCCACCAAGGCGACGAUCCGUAGCUGGUCUGAGAGGAUGAUCAGCCACACUGGAACUGAGACACGGUCCAGACUCCUACGGGAGGCAGCAGUGGGGAAUAUUGGACAAUGGGCGCAAGCCUGAUCCAGCCAUACCGCGUGGGUGAAGAAGGCCUUCGGGUUGUAAAGCCCUUUUGUUGGGAAAGAAAAGCAGCAGGUUAAUACCCCGCUGUUCUGACGGUACCCAAAGAAUAAGCACCGGCUAACUUCGUG